rnacentral:lncRNA from 1 species
CUGAGGCAUGCAAUGAGGAGGUGGUUCUUCCCUUGCAAACGAAACUCAUCUUUACGGAACGACAUCUUUCAGGACUUCAAUUUUAAAACCUACGAAAAAUAAUAAGACAUAUGUUUUCACUUCUCUUGGGUAAAUACCUGGAAGUAGAAUUUCUGAGUCGUGGAGAAACAUAAACGUAAAAGGGAUAUAAUUGUCAAGACACUGGAAUCAAGAUGAAUGGAAGCUGAAAUAAUCUGGAAAGCAGAAUGGGUGGCAGUUAAAGGAACCUGGAGAAGUGACUGGCCAAGCAGAAGCAAGGGACUGAGAGAGAUGAUGGUUGCCUUCCGGUGGUUGUUUGAAAUGGGUUUUCUGGACCGUUAUGAAAGAAUCAUGGCCACCAAAAUUCCCUCAUCUAAUCUACCUGAGAGAUACCUAUGGUGGCUCUCAAUUGGCUCUCAAGUUGAAUUCCAUUUCCUGAUCCUGGGUGGAGCAUACAACCUGUUUGUCCUAUCAUCUGGCGACGCACAUUUGUUAAUGUCAAGCUUUGGAAAGAUUAGAUCCUCUAUGUGUCAUGGCUGUUAUACUACUUUUUCUGUUUCAUUUUCAAGCAGCUCUAUUGAAGUAUGAUUGAUAUACAAGGAAUUGCACAUAUUUAAUGUGUACAAUUUUAUGAGUUUGGACAUAGGCAAACACCUAUGAUACCAUCACCACAAUCAAGGGCAACCCAAAUGGAGACCAUAGUCCCCAGCCUCCUUUGCAGCCAUGUAUGGCCACUCAACUAAACUCUUGCUAAUAAAAUAGAAGCACAAGCAAUGUUUGCUCGAUCUGGACUUCCUCUGUUUCCUCUUCACACGUGCUGGAAGCCAAAUGAGGCAGCGGAGAACGCUGGGCAGAGGAGGGCUGCAUGCUAGGGGAUGGCACAGCACCAACGGGGAAGGAUAUCUUGAUGUCAUUGAGCCAUGUCUCUAAUCUACAUGUCGAAUUUGCAUGAGAAAGAAAUACACUUCUGUAUUGUAGCCAAUGUAUGUUUUUAUCUUUGUUGUGGAAGACAAUCUUUAUCCUAACUAAGCCAGAUAGGGUUUUUUUGUUGUUGUUGUCCUUGAUUAAUCAUUUUUAGUAUGCUUUCAACUUAUAAAUGGAAUAUGGAAUAAAUAUUUUAUUAUUUUCAUGAUAAAAAUGCUUUAUAUUUCUGUAGGGUAUUUCUUUUAUCAGGAUCUUUCUCCAUAUUCUGCUCUAUGAUAGUUACAACAAUCCUGUGGUGGCAGUUAAGAUGAUUCAUUAUCCCUAUUAUACAAGGAAGGAAACAAGUUGAUUCGCAAUUGGACCUUGAUCUUUCCAAAUUAUCUCAGGAACUUGUACAAGUUCAGAGGAAAUGUAGAUUGAUGACUAUAUAUUAAUGUCAAUGAAAAAUAUUUUAUUAAAUUAAAACCCACGAUUUUAAUAAGGUAUCUCACUCUUUUGUAGAACUUAAUAAAUAUAGCUUUUUAAAACUGCAUUCAUUUAACUAAUUUAUCUCUUUAAUAAAAUAAAAAUAUAUUAAUUAGUGCAUUUUCAAAUUAAAUGUCUGAAAUAUUAAGAAAUCUUACAUUUACUUUCUUUUUCUAUUUAUAAAUGUAGCAAAUUUGGAAAAUAUAAAGGAGAUGUUAAAAAUUACUCAUAGUCCUAAAUAAUUCAAAUUAAACACUAUUAAUCUUCAUCAAAAUUAUUUUAGUAAUUUCAUGGAUAUCCAUGUUUUCAUGAAUUUAUGAACGAAUUUUUAAAUGACAUAUUUUAUACUUGCUUAUUGUAAAACUAAGUAACAGAGGAAAGAAAAAUCUGAAAAUUAUGUGUAACUACAAGACUCAGAGAUAACUACUGUUAAUAUAUGUGUAUACUUAUUUACAAAAAUAAAAAAUGCUGUUUUAAACAUUUUCACUUAAUGAUAAUGGCUAACAUUCAAGAUCCCCAUUAGGGCCAGGCGCUGCACUACAAAUGUUCCACCCAUUUACCUUGUUUAACAUUCAGAAGAAGCCUGUAAGGUAAGUGCUAUAAUUAUCACCAUCUUUACACAAGGAGGAACUGAGGCUUGGGUAUGUUAAACAACUUAGGAAUCAUAAUGAAGGUAUGAAAGUAUCAAAUAGUGUCACAGGUUGUCUGUAUGCAAAACCUGCACUCCAGACAUUUUGCUAUGCUAUUUGAAUGUCAAGAAACAUGACGCUGCAAUGUAUCCCAUCCUAUGCAUAUGCCACAAGUGUCCCAAUCAAUCUUUUACUUCUGGCUAUAUAAGUUGUUUCCUAAUAUUAACAGCAUGUAUUUGUUGUUAAACCUUC